rnacentral:rRNA from 1 species
ACUCAAAUGAAUUGACGGGGACUUGCACAAGCGGUGGAUCAUGCGGCUCAAUUCGAUGGCAAACGAAGAACCUCACCAGGGUUUGAAACCCACACGACAUCCUAGGAAACUAGGCUUCCGCAAGGCGGGUGGGCAGGUGAUGCAUGGUCGUCGUCAGUUCGUGGCUUGAGUUGUUCCCUUCAGUGGGGUAACGAACGCAACCCUCGUUGCUAGUUUUACAAGUCUAGCGAGACUGCCCCCUCACGGGGGAGGAAGGUGAGGAUGACGCCAGAUCAGCAUGUCCCUCUGAUAUCCUGGGCUGCACGCAUGAUACAAUGGUCAAGACAACGGGUCGCGACGGAGUAAUCCUGAGCUAAUCCUUAUAACUUGGCCCCAGUUCGGAUUGAGGUCUGCAACUCGACCUCAUGAAGCCGGAAUCGCUAGUAAUCGCGGGUCAGCUAUACCGCGGUGAAUACGUUCUCAAGUCUUGUACACACCGCCCGU